GACGAACGCUGGCGGCGUGCCUAAUACAUGCAAGUCGAACGCAGUGGGGACGGGUGAGUAACACGUGGGUAACCUCCCAUCAGAGGGGAUAACACUUGGAAACAGGUGCUAAACCGAUACUGAUGGAUGGACCCGCGGUGCAUUAGCUAGUUGGUGAGGUAACGGCUCACCAAGGCCACGAUGCAUAGCCGUCCGCGUAGGGUGAUCGGCCACACUGGGACGUAGACACGGCCCAGAUUCCUACGUGAGGCAGCAGUAGGGAAUCUUCGGCAAGGGACGAAAGUCUGACCGAGCAACGCGGCGUGAUUGAAGAAGGUUUUCGGACCGAAAAACUCUGUGGUUAGAGAAGCGGUAUCUAACCAGAAAGCCACGGCUAACUACGUGCCAGCAGCCGCGGUAAUAC
rnacentral:rRNA from 1 species